rnacentral:rRNA from 1 species
AGAGUUCGAUCCUGGCUCAGGAUGAACGCUGGCGGCGUGCUUAACACAUGCAAGUCGAACGAGAAAUGAAGACGGAAACCUUCGGGCGGAAGGCUUCAUUUCGAGUGGCGGACGGGUGAGUAACGCGUGGGUAACCUGCCUCAUACAGGGGGAUAACAGUUGGAAACGACUGUUAAUACCGCAUAAGACCACAGCACCGCAUGGUGCGGGGGUAAAAACUCCGGUGGUAUGAGAUGGACCCGCGUUCGAUUAGCCAGUUGGCGGGGUAACGGCCCACCAAAGCGACGAUCGAUAGCCGAUCUGAGAGGAUGACCGGCCACAUUGGGACUGAGACACGGCCCAAACUCCUACGGGAGGCAGCAGUGGGGAAUAUUGCACAAUGGGGGAAACCCUGAUGCAGCGACGCCGCGUGAGUGAAGAAGUAUUUCGGUAUGUAAAGCUCUAUCAGCAGGGAAGAAAAUGACGGUACCUGACUAAGAAGCCCCGGCUAACUACGUGCCAGCAGCCGCGGUAAUACGUAGGGGGCAAGCGUUAUCCGGAUUUACUGGGUGUAAAGGGAGCGCAGACGGCAAUGCAAGUCUGAAGUGAAAGGCGUGGGCUCAACCCAUGAACUGCUUUGGAAACUGUAUAGCUUGAGUGUCGGAGGGGUAAGCGGAAUUCCUAGUGUAGCGGUGAAAUGCGUAGAUAUUAGGAGGAACACCGGAGGCGAAGGCGGCUUACUGGACGACAACUGACGUUGAGGCUCGAAGGCGUGGGGAGCAAACAGGAUUAGAUACCCUGGUAGUCCACGCGGUAAACGAUGAAUACUAGGUG